GAGGGUAUAGCUCAGUGGUAGAGCAUGUACUUGGCAUGCAUGAGGUCCUGGGUUCAAUCCCCGGUACCUCCC
rnacentral:tRNA from 1 species